UACGUAGGGUGCGAGCGUUGUCCGGAAUUAUUGGGCGUAAAGAGCUCGUAGGCGGUCUGUCGCGUCGGUCGUGAAAACUUGGGGCUUAACCCUGAGCUUGCGGUCGAUACGGGCAUGACUGGAGUUCGGCAGGGGAGACUGGAAUUCCUGGUGUAGCGGUGAAAUGCGCAGAUAUCAGGAGGAACACCGGUGGCGAAGGCGGGUCUCUGGACAGUUCCUGACACUGAGGCACGAAGGCCAGGGGAGCAAACGGG
rnacentral:rRNA from 1 species